AGUUUGAUCCUGGCUCAGGACGAACGCUGGCGGCGUGCCUAAUACAUGCAAGUCGAGCGGAUGACAGAGGAGCUUGCUCCUCUCGAUUCAGCGGCGGACGGGUGAGUAACACGUGGGCAACCUGCCCUGUAGAUUGGGAUAACUCCGGGAAACCGGGGCUAAUACCGAAUAAUCCUUCGGACCUCAUGGUCCGAUGUUGAAAGGCGGCUUCGGCUGUCACUACAGGAUGGGCCCGCGGCGCAUUAGCUAGUUGGUGAGGUAACGGCUCACCAAGGCCACGAUGCGUAGCCGACCUGAGAGGGUGAUCGGCCACACUGGGACUGAGACACGGCCCAGACUCCUACGGGAGGCAGCAGUAGGGAAUCUUCCACAAUGGACGAAAGUCUGAUGGAGCAACGCCGCGUGAGUGAAGAAGGUUCUCGGAUCGUAAAACUCUGUUGUGAGGGAAGAACAAGUACCGGAGUAACUGCCGGUACCUUGACGGUACCUCAUUAGAAAGCCACGGCUAACUACGUGCCAGCAGCCGCGGUAAUACGUAGGUGGCAAGCGUUGUCCGGAAUCAUUGGGCGUAAAGCGCGCGCA
rnacentral:rRNA from 2 species